rnacentral:pre_miRNA from 1 species
AGUUCUUCAGUGGCAUGCUUUAUGUCCCUUCGAGCCGCUAAAGCUGCCAGUUGAAGAACUGU